UGGCGGCGUGCUUACACAUGCAAGUCGAGCGGAAAGGCCCUUCGGGGUACUCGAGCGGCGAACGGGUGAGUAACACGUGAGUAACCUGCCCCUGACUCUGGGAUAAGCCUGGGAAACCGGGUCUAAUACCGGAUAUGACACUCCUCCGCAUGGUGUGGGUGUGGAAAGUUUUUUCGGUUGGGGAUGGACUCGCGGCCUAUCAGCUUGUUGGUGGGGUGAUGGCCUACCAAGGCGACGACGGGUAGCCGGCCUGAGAGGGCGACCGGCCACACUGGGACUGAGACACGGCCCAGACUCCUACGGGAGGCAGCAGUGGGGAAUAUUGCGCAAUGGGCGGAAGCCUGACGCAGCGACGCCGCGUGGGGGAUGACGGCCUUCGGGUUGUAAACCUCUUUCAGCAGGGACGAAGUUGACGUGUACCUGUAGAAGAAGCGCCGGCUAACUACGUGCCAGCAGCCGCGGUAAUACGUAGGGCGCGAGCGUUGUCCGGAAUUAUUGGGCGUAAAGAGCUCGUAGGUGGCUUGUUGCGUCUGCCGUGAAAGCCCGUGGCUUAACUACGGGUCUGCGGUGGAUACGGGCAGGCUAGAGGCUGGUAGGGGCAAGCGGAAUUCCUGGUGUAGCGGUGAAAUGCGCAGAUAUCAGGAGGAACACCGGUGGCGAAGGCGGCUUGCUGGGCCAGUUCUGACGCUGAGGAGCGAAAGCUG
rnacentral:rRNA from 1 species